GACGAACGCUGGCGGCGUGCUUGACACAUGCAAGUCGAACGGAAAGGCCCUGCUUGCAGGGUACUCGAGUGGCGAACGGGUGAGUAACACGUGGGUGAUCUGCCCUGCACUUCGGGAUAAGCCUGGGAAACUGGGUCUAAUACCGGAUAGGAGCCAUUUUUAGUGUGAUGGUUGGAAAGUUUUUUCGGUGUAGGAUGAGCUCGCGGCCUAUCAGCUUGUUGGUGGGGUAAUGGCCUACCAAGGCGGCGACGGGUAGCCGGCCUGAGAGGGUGGACGGCCACAUUGGGACUGAGAUACGGCCCAGACUCCUACGGGAGGCAGCAGUGGGGAAUAUUGCACAAUGGGCGCAAGCCUGAUGCAGCGACGCCGCGUGGGGGAUGACGGCCUUCGGGUUGUAAACUCCUUUCGCUAGGGACGAAGCUUUUUGUGACGGUACCUAGAUAAGAAGCACCGGCUAACUACGUG
rnacentral:rRNA from 1 species